CGUGUAGGCGGUUUUUUUAAGUCUGAUGUGAAAGCCCCCGGGCUCAACCCGGGAAGUGCAUUGGAUACUGGGAGACUUGAAUACGGGAGAGGGUAGUGGAAUUCCUAGUGUAGGAGUGAAAUCCGUAGAUAUUAGGAGGAACACCGGUGGCGAAGGCGGCUACCUGGACCGAUAUUGACGCUGAGACGCGAAAGCGUGGGGAGCAAACAGGAUUAGAUACCCUGGUAGUCCACGCCGUAAACGAUGAGAACUAGGUGUUGCGGGUAUUGACCCCUGCAGUGCCGCAGCUAACGCAUUAAGUUCUCCGCCUGGGAAGUACGGUCGCAAGACUAAA
rnacentral:rRNA from 1 species